rnacentral:rRNA from 1 species
GAUGAACGCUGGCGGCGUGCCUAAUACAUGCAAGUCGAGCGAACAGACGAGGAGCUUGCUCCUCUGACGUUAGCGGCGGACGGGUGAGUAACACGUGGAUAACCUACCUAUAAGACUGGGAUAACUUCGGGAAACCGGAGCUAAUACCGGAUAAUAUAUUGAACCGCAUGGUUCAAUAGUGAAAGACGGUUUUGCUGUCACUUAUAGAUGGAUCCGCGCCGCAUUAGCUAGUUGGUAAGGUAACGGCUUACCAAGGCGACGAUGCGUAGCCGACCUGAGAGGGUGAUCGGCCACACUGGCACUGAGACACGGUCCAGCCUCCUCCGGGAGGCAGCAGUAGGGACUCUUCCGCAAUGGGCGCAAGCCUGACGGAGCAACGCCGCGUGAGUGAUGAAGGUCUUCGGAUCGUAAAACUCUGUUAUUAGGGAAGAACAAAUGUGUAAGUAACUAUGCACGUCUUGACGGUACCUCAUCAGAAAGCCACGGCUAACUACGUG